rnacentral:rRNA from 1 species
GACGAACGCUGGCGGCGUGCUUAACACAUGCAAGUCGAACGGAAAGGCCCUUCGGGGUACUCGAGUGGCGAACGGGUGAGUAACACGUGGGUGAUCUGCCCUGCACUUUGGGAUAAGCCUGGGAAACUGGGUCUAAUACCGAAUAGGACCACGCGCUUCAUGGUGUGUGGUGGAAAGCUUUUGCGGUGUGGGAUGGGCCCGCGGCCUAUCAGCUUGUUGGUGGGGUAAUGGCCUACCAAGGCGACGACGGGUAGCCGGCCUGAGAGGGUGACCGGCCACACUGGGACUGAGAUACGGCCCAGACUCCUACGGGAGGCAGCAGUGGGGAAUAUUGCACAAUGGGCGCACGCCUGAUGCAGCGACGCCGCGUGAGUGAUGACGGCCUUCGGGUUGUAAACCUCUUUCAAUAGGGACGAAGCGCAAGUGACGGUACCUAUAGAAGAAGCACCGGCCAACUACGUG